UGGAGACCCAUGCUGCCUCAUGCAGCUGCAGCAGUCUUGUCCACUCCCAGACUCUUCAUGCACCAAUCUGUGCACCAUCACUGCAGUUCCCUCCACGGCAGGGCAGAGACACAGCCACUUACCUCUCCCUAUUUGGCAAAUGUGUCU